UACGUAGGGGGCAAGCGUUGUCCGGAUUUAUUGGGCGUAAAGAGCGUGUAGGCGGCCAUACAGGUCAGCUGUGAAAACUCGAGGCUCAACCUCGAGACGUCGGUUGAAACCGUAUGGCUAGAGUCCGGAAGAGGAGAGUGGAAUUCCCGGUGUAGCGGUGAAAUGCGCAGAUAUCGGGAAGAACACCUAUGGCGAAGGCAGCUCUCUGGGACGGUACUGACGCUGAGACGCGAAAGCGUGGGGGAGCGAACAGG
rnacentral:rRNA from 1 species